UGAGGAAUAUUGGUCAAUGGGGGCAACCCUGAACCAGCCAAGUCGCGUGAAGGAUGAAGGUCUUAUGGAUUGUAAACUUCUUUUACACGGGAAUAAAGUGGGGGACGUGUCCCCCUUUGCAUGUACCGUGUGAAUAAGGAUCGGCUAACUCCGUGCCAGCAGCCGCGGUAAUACGGAGGAUCCGAGCGUUAUCCGGAUUUAUUGGGUUUAAAGGGUGCGCAGGCGGGAUGUUAAGUCGGCGGUGAAAUUUUGCAGCUCAACUGUAAAAGUGCCUUCGAUACUGGCCUUCUUGAGUGUGGAUGAAGUAGGCGGAAUUUGUGGUGUAGCGGUGAAAUGCUUAGAUAUCACGAGGAACUCCGAUUGCGCAGGCAGCUUACUAAGCCACAACUGACGCUCAUGCACGAAGGCGUGGGGAUCAAACA
rnacentral:rRNA from 1 species